rnacentral:rRNA from 1 species
ACGCUAGCUACAGGCUUAACACAUGCAAGUCGAGGGCAGCAUGGAAGAAGCUUGCUUCUUCUGAUGGCGACCGGCGCACGGGUGCGUAACGCGUAUCAAACCUGCCUCAUACUCGGGGAUAGCCUUGCGAAAGUAAGAUUAAUACCCGAUGUUGUUGCUUUCUCGCAUGGGAGAGUAAUCAAAGAUUUAUCGGUAUGAGAUGGUGAUGCGUCCGAUUAGGUAGUAGGCGGGGUAACGGCCCACCUAGCCUUCGAUCGGUAGGGGUUCUGAGAGGAAGGUCCCCCACACUGGAACUGAGACACGGUCCAGACUCCUACGGGAGGCAGCAGUGAGGAAUAUUGGUCAAUGGGCGAGAGCCUGAACCAGCCAAGUAGCGUGCAGGAUGACGGCCCUCCGGGUUGUAAACUGCUUUUAGUUGGGAAUAAAAAAAGGGACUUGUCCCUUCUUGUAUGUACCUUCAGAAAAAGGACCGGCUAAUUCCGUGCCAGCAGCCGCGGUAAUACGGAAGGUCCAGGCGUUAUCCGGAUUUAUUGGGUUUAAAGGGAGCGUAGGCGGAUUGUUAAGUCAGCGGUUAAAGGGUGUGGCUCAACCAUGCAUUGCCGUUGAAACUGGCGAUCUUGAGUGCAGACAGGGAUGCCGGAAUUCGUGGUGUAGCGGUGAAAUGCUUAGAUAUCACGAAGAACUCCGAUCGCGAAGGCAGGUGUCCGGGCUGCAACUGACGCUGAGGCUCGAAAGUGUGGGUAUCAAACAGGAUUAGAUACCCUGGUAGUCCACACAGUAAACGAUGUAUACUCGCGGUUUGCGAUAGAUUGUAAGCCGCCAAGCGAAAGCAUUAAGUAUACCACCUGGGGAGUACGCCGGCUACGGUGAAACUCAAAGGAAUUGACGGGGGCCCGCACAAGCGGAGGAACAUGUGGUUUAAUUCGAUGAU